UACAGAGGGUGCGAGCGUUGUCCGGAAUCACUGGGCGUAAAGGGCGCGUAGGUGGCGAGCCAAGUCCAUGGUGAAAGCUCGAUGCUCAACAUCGAGUCGGCCACGGAUACUGGUGCGCUUGAGCACUGUAGAGGCUAAUGGAAUUCCGGGUGUAGCGGUGGAAUGCGCAGAUAUCAGGAGGAACACCAAUGGCGAAGGCAGCUCUCUGGUACAUGAUUGACGCUGAGACGCGAAAGCGUGGGGAGCGAACAGG
rnacentral:rRNA from 1 species